UACAGAGGGUGCUAGCGUUGUUCGGAAUCAUUGGGCGUAAAGGGUGUGUAGACGGUUUAUUAAGUCUGUUGUUAAAUACUCUGGCUUAACUGGAGAUCGGCAGUGGAAACUAAUAGACUAGAGGUUGGGAGAGAGAAGUGGAAUUCCCGGAGUAGCGGUAAAAUGCGUAGAUCUCGGGAGGAACACCGGUGGCGAAGGCAGCUUCUUGGCCCAUACCUGACGUUGAGACACGAAAGCGUGGGGAGCAAACAGG
rnacentral:rRNA from 1 species